CAGCACUCUCUUUUGUUAUGCUCCAUGUUUCUUACCGCAUUCAAAUGGCGUCUUAAGAAAACGUAACCGUUUACAAUCACAAGUGAAGUUAUUCGGAACAGCAAAACCGUCGACGCAAUGAAAAAAAAAAAGAUUUUUUUGUAAUGUUUAAUAUAAAGAUUAACUGGUGAAAAGAAAACUAACUUGGACAACCAGUGAACAAUCGAUUUUCGUUCGACACUACUAUGAGGAUUGCAAGCUUCUACAAUGCCUUUGUCUUUUGUUUCAACACCCUCUUCACAUUCAUUAAUGUCUACAGUUUAAAAGUAGAGAGACGGCAAAUAAAGUUAUGAAAAAUCGUACGGACACUACCUUGACAUAAAACUUUUGGGCUGUUGUCAGGAACUAAUUUAGCGAUCUUUUUGAAACCAGUGCACUCAUGGGUUCCUUCAGCGCAUUCAUCAAUAUCUUGAAUAUAUCAAAAACAAAUCAAAAAUUAAUUCACUUGUUGACAGCUUCCUUUUUUAAAAAAUUUAUUCAAUUGAGACAGCCUUAUAUUCUACCUUCACAACCCCAUGGCAAAUUUCGAAAUAUGAAUCCAGGAGCACAACGGCAUUGAUACAUAUUGAAUUUAACAAAAAUGCAAGAGUCUUUUUCCAUGAUAGAGGGUAUAAGUCCAUUUUGGCUUUUUUCCUCUUCAUAUUUUAAACGACAAGGAUCGAGUUUCGGUAUAAGACAUUUAUUAUAUACUACCGAACAACAAGGCAAUUUUUUUGUGAUGGUAAAGAGAACAUAAAAAAUUCAACCUGUACAAAGAUGAUCAUUUUUAUUUGCGUAUCCUGGUAAACAUUCGCACUUAUACCCUCCAAAAGUAUUCUGACAUACAGAUGUUUCCUUAGAGCAUAUUUCUUCUUGCAAACAUUCAUCAAUAUCUGAUUGAAAAAAACUCAACUUUUGAAAAAUUGUGUUUUUAAACAAACCUGAACAUUCAAAAAAAUUAUUUA